UUCAGCCUCGUCCACUCCCUCGAGUCUCUCACUCGCUAAAUCUCUGUGUUUUCUCUUCAGCACGCACACUCUGCCUUGUUUCUUUAUCUUUCAUUUUCAUGGUUUGGUGACAUGUUUUUGUUGUUGUUAACUUGGAUUUUUAGGAAUGAUAGAUGAACGAAAGCGAGGUGACGAAAGAAAUUCAUGUAUGUCAGUACGCUGAUAACAGUGUGAUGUUACUGUGAAUCCCGACAGGUGUUUGCCGUCAAGUUUGCUGGUUACAACAAGUCUAAUGUACUCCUCAUUGCUUAUAGCCUUGUAGUUUGCUGCCUUCUCCUUGACAAGAUCUGGCAGAGGACCAAUCAUGGUCAUCAUAUUUGGGCUGUGAAAUCCUGCAAUUGAAAGCCGUUCCCUUUCCGUGUUCACCACAGCCCUGUGCUCAAUGCUCUUAUAUUCUCCAUUACUCAAUAUCUGCAACAAUAUAGUGAUUAGAUGGAAAGCGUCAAGUACUGUUGGAGAGACUACAUUUGUUAGACCGUAUUAUGUUCCAAAUGGAGUAUGCAUUAUCAUAUUGAUUGUUCAUAGGCGCAUGACUUCUAUACAAUGUGGUCAAAAAUGUGGUUUAUCAAUCUUAUAUGCUAUUGAGUAUUCAUUGUGGUA